UAUUUAUAUGCUCGGGAAGAGCUGAACUGAAAGAGGGUAAACAAGUCUGACAAUUGCGACUCUGAAGUUCAUCGAAACUGCAGCGUACAACACCAAAGACUAAUGGUGUGACUGCUGGUAAAAGCUUGCGCCUACGUGGUGAGGAAGAUCAGGGCUUCUGUUUCUGAGGGAGAGCAGGAAGAGAAACCCAUCCGUACACCAUGUAGUGCAAAAGCUCAAAGCAAAUCGGGGCGAAGAUCAAAGUCUUCCUCAACUGCUGUCCUGAACCUGGGACACGAUGAAGGAGUCGACGGCGAUGUGGCAGCAGCAGCAGCAGGGACGUCUUCAGGGGCACCUGUGCAGAACUGUGGCUCCUGACGUUAAAUUUCUGACUGGAUGCUGGGACUGUGGUCAACUCACUCUCAAAAGAUAAUUUAUAUAUUGGAAUUAUGUUGGAUGCUUCACUGCAAUGAAGGAACCACAUUAAUUGGAUGGCUGGUGUUGUUUUUGACACAAAUCUAUAAACUGAGUACUAAAAGUCUUAAUUUGAAUACUUUCCAGUUUUUCACAGUUUCCAGUGUCUAGCUCAGAAUGUCCCAUAAAACGGCCUUUUUCACAGCAGAUGUUUUGACACUUCCUGAAAACAAGUGCAAUUAGUAGCAUUAGUCGUGGGAAUUUCCCCUUUGUUGUUCUCAAGCGCAACAGAAUGUAAUGAGGGCAUCAUGUUGGUUAGAAAUGAUAGCCUGUGUGGGUAGUUAGUGUAUUUCCUGUGAAAAAGGCCUACAUUCAUGUACUGCAGCGUUUGACGGCUGGCUCACCAACCUCUGCACCCAGAGACUGAACAGGCCUGAUGUUCCUGCUGUUACACCAGUAAACAUAAUUAUGUUAAAAAGCUCUAUUUGGGUAUUUAUACCUCUAUAAUAGACUUAUACAUUAUAUAUUCAUGUCAGAAUAGGUAAUAUGCACAUCAUUGGAUAAAGUAAAUGGAGUGAGUGAACUAAUCUUAAAUUUAUAUUUUACAGAUGUGUUUAUUUGUAUAUCUGUUAUAAAAAUGUUAUAAGGUUACAUUUGCAAUAAAUUUGGAACUGCAUUGUCAUA